rnacentral:rRNA from 1 species
CACGUAGGGGGCGAGCGUUGUCCGGAUUUAUUGGGCGUAAAGAGCUCGUAGGCGGUUUCGUUAGUCGGGUGUGAAAACCCCAGGCUCAACCUGGGGACGCCACCCGAUACUGCGAUGACUAGAGUCCGGUAGGGGAGUGUGGAAUUCCUGGUGUAGCGGUGAAAUGCGCAGAUAUCAGGAGGAACACCGGUGGCGAAGGCGGGACUCUGGGCCGAUACUGACGCUGAGGAGCGAAAGCGUGGGGAGCGAACAGG